UACGUAGGGUGCGAGCGUUAAUCGGAAUUACUGGGCGUAAAGCGUGCGCAGGCGGUUUUGUAAGCCAGAUGUGAAAUCCCCGGGCUUAACCUGGGAAUGGCAUUUGGGACUGCAAGGCUGGAGUGCGGCAGAGGAGACUGGAAUUCCUGGUGUAGCAGUGAAAUGCGUAGAUAUCAGGAGGAAUACCGAAGGCGAAGGCAGUGUCCUGGCGAGUAUCCUGACGCUGAGGUGCGAAAGCCAGGGGAGCGAACGGG
rnacentral:rRNA from 1 species